ACAUGCCCACACCUGUGGCUUCUGAAGCAGAGCACCAGCAGUGACAGUCCCACCAGAACCGCAUGGAAUAGAAAACUGUGCAUUUCCCUAAGGAAAGGGAAUGCCAGAGAAGGGCAGAAGGGAAAUCAGGAAGACAAAACGUGUCUUCAUGUUGGAGUGGACCUUUCCUCUAUCUGUCAACAGAAUGGAUAAAUUGUGGAAGAGUAAUAUCAGAAUACUACACAUCAGUAAAAAACAACAAACUUCUGCUACAAACAAUCAACAUCGAUGAAUCUUUCAGGCAAAAGGGUUAAUGCCUACAAUAAGUGUUCUUGAAAUACAGUCACGCGUUGCUUAACCAUGGGGAUAUAUUCUGAUAAAUUCAUCAUUAGGCGAUUUCAUCACUGGGCGAACAUCACAGCUCGUACUCACACAAACCUAGAUGUCAUAGCCUACUACACACCUAGGCUAUAUGAUAUAGGCUAUUGCUAGCAACAAACCUGUACAGCAUGUUACUGUCUUGAAUACUUAGGCAGCAGAGCACAAUGUUAUAGAAACAGAUGAUCAGUGGCCCACGGAUUCCAGGUGAGGAUCUGGG
rnacentral:lncRNA from 10 species